GCCGGUGUAGCUCAGCGGUAGAGCAACUGAUUCGUAAUCAGUAGGUCGAGGGUUCAAAUCCCCCCACCGGCUCCA
rnacentral:tRNA from 1 species